rnacentral:rRNA from 1 species
UUGACCUCGGAUCAGGCAGGGAUACCCGCUGAACUUAAGCAUAUCAAUAAGCGGAGGAAAAGAAACCAACAGGGAUUGCCUCAGUAACGGCGAGUGAAGCGGCAACAGCUCAAAUUUGAAAUCUGGCUCUUUUAGGGUCCGAGUUGUAAUUUGUAGAGGAUGCUUCGGCGUCGGCUCCGGUCUAAGUUCCUUGGAACAGGACGUCAUAGAGGGUAGAAUCCGUAUGUGAUCGGUGCCUGCCAUGUGAGUCCUUCGACGAGUCGAUUGUUGGAUGCAGCUCU